rnacentral:rRNA from 1 species
GAUCCUGGCUCAGGAUGAACGCUAGCUACAGGCUUAACACAUGCAAGUCGAGGGGCGAGCAUGGUCUUAGCUUGCUAAGGCUGAUGGCGACCGGCGCACGGUGAGUAACACGUAUCCAACCUGCCGUCUACGUCUUGGCCAGCCUUCUGAAAGGAAGAUUAAUCCAGGAUGGGAUCAUGAGUUUCACAUAGUCCGCAUGAUUAAAGGUAUUUUCCGGUAGACGAUGGGG